rnacentral:rRNA from 1 species
CCUACGGGUGGCUGCAGUGGGGAAUAUUGCACAAUGGGGGAAACCCUGAUGCAGCAACGCCGCGUGAGUGAAGACGUCAUUAGUGAUGUAAAGCUCUAUCUGCAGGGCAGAAAAUGACGGUACCUGACUAAGAAGCACCGGCUAACUACGUGCCAGCAGCCGCGGUCAUCCGUCGGGGGGCAGCGUUAUGCGGCUUUACUGGGUGUAAAGGGAGCGUAGUCGGCGACGCAAGUCUGAAGUGAAAUGCCUGUGCUCAACCCUGGAACUGCUGUUGAAACUGAGGAGCUAGAGUGCAGGAGAGGUAAGUGGAAUGCCUAGUGUAGCGGUGAAAUGCGUAGAUAUUAGGAGGAACACCAGUUGCGAAGGCGGCUUACUGGACUGUAACUGACGUUGAGGCACGAAGGCGUGGGGAUCGAACAGGAUUAGAUACCCGAGUAGUC